rnacentral:lncRNA from 1 species
CAAUUAAUAGAAAAAUUCCGAGCAACAAUUGAAAUUUAUGCAACUGAUGUUAAUGAAGCUCGGAAUGGGGAGAAGAGAUUCGUACCAAAAAGAGGUCGAGUCGUGGUCAGAGUUGGUCGGAAAACACUUGCAAAAAUAGUGAUCCUCGCUGGAAAACUGGGAAAUGGCUUCCCGAGUUGUUUAUGCGUCCAACACGUGAUUAUCACUUUAAAAACUAUUCUAAUCUAACAUUAAAAUACGAUCUAAAGGGUUCUAGGGACUUACCUGGAGAUGGCGAAAACUCCUUGAGGGUUCAUCAGGAAGAGGAUGAACAGUGGCCUCUGUCAUUGUCAGAGUCCCAAGGCCUUGGCUUGGGUUGUUGGAGUUUUUGAGCUCCUUUAGUCCCACAUCAGGAAACUCAAGGGAACUUGAGGUUCUUAUAUUAAGUUAGUCACCUUUAUUAGUGAUUAGGUGUUGGACCAUUUAGAAUGAGGAUUGAGGUUUGAGCCACUAAUUGUGUGGAUUAAGCUUGAUGAUUAUACCAUAAUAUUAAUAUAAAUUAAUAUUAAUUAAUCAAGACAAGGGCCCUAAACCAUGGGCCUUGGGGCCUAAGAAUUAAAAUUAAUCAGAUCAUUAAUUUUAAAUUCGAAUUAAGUUUUUAAUGAAAAUUAAUUCAAAAUGUUUUGAUUA